UACAGAGGGUGCGAGCGUUGUUCGGAAUCACUGGGCGUAAAGCGCGCGCAGGCGGGCGUGUAAGUCAGAAGUGAAAUUCCGGGGCUCAACCCCGGAGCUGCUCCUGAUACUGCAGGUCUGGAGACCGGUAGAGGCUGGUGGAAUUCCCCGGUGUAGCGGUGGAAUGCGUAGAUAUUGGGAGGAACACCAGUGGCGAAGGCGGCUCACUGGACUGGUACUGACGCUGAGGUGCGAAGCGUGGGAGCAAACAGG
rnacentral:rRNA from 1 species